UUCCAUGCAUGGGGUUUUAUUUUUCAUUGUUUGAUUAGGAUCACAGCUACAUCAAAGGCGCUGGAGAAAAAAGAAGGCACAUUUUUUUGCCCUUCACAAAAGGUCUUUGGGAAUUUCAGCUCUACCUCGGGCAAGGGGGAGGUGAUGAAGUCUCCAUCUAGACCAGCCAAUUCAUUUCCCUCCCCCUCAGCCUCCCUCUUCCCAUCCCCACACUUGUCUGAGCCUUUCUGUAGGGAAAAGAUAGGGGAAGGUGACUGCGACAGAUGAAAGUGGUGUUAGUUAUGUCAGCUGCUCUUGGAACUGGAGCUGAGGAAUCCGCCUACUGAGAAAUACAGCCAGAAAAUAAUCUGUCCCAAAGAGUUACUGCAGUCUCUGCGUAGGGCACCUGAAGAAUCUUUUGAAGGGCGUCUUUUUUCUUAUUACAGUAAUAUUUUUCAGGUUCACAAGGACUUCAACAUCAGCAGAAAUGCCUUUUAAAGAAGAAACGGUUGCUGAAACUGUGGCAGCAGGAAGGAGGUGAGUGCUCAUUAAUGCCAGCUAGUGGCUCCUUGGCAUACAGUAUGGAGGUGGAAAGAAAACAUGAGCUUCUGCAUGGCCCAGAAAGCUUUUCAUUACAUGGGAAAUCUAAGAAUGCAGCUUUUCUGAAGAAAAAUCACACUUCAUAUAUAUGACCAGGGCUACAGUAAGAUUGUACUACAUGAACCUUCAAAAGAUUAGCAAGCAUUUAAAUCAAAGCUGACUGAAUAAAUUGUAAUGAAUAAUUUAUUCAAUUAAGUUUUCUUCUAUUUUCUCUUUACCAGUUUGUUUUCUAAUAGAUUAUGACUAAUUUUGUUGUUGUUUGAAAUAUUUUGCUAAUAAUUUCUGUAAAUUAUUUGAUCAAGAAAAGUGCUAUCAAAUUGAACAGGACAUGCAACCAUCAAGCAGAAUUUCAAAGGGAAUUUUGAGGUACCAUAGGAUGUAGAUAUUCUUGAACUGUGUUUUUGCAAAAAGGAAAAUGUCUCAGCUCCACGGGUGCUUGAAAUAAUUUCUAAGUUUUCUGUUUUCAUUGAUAUUUUUAUAUGUAAGAAAAAUAAGACGUAAGAAUCUCAAGCUAUAGGUGGGUGUUAAA